rnacentral:sRNA from 1 species
GCAGGCCAUCCUGAAUCCUCUGGACUGUUUCCCCUGUAUAUUUCCCUGGAAGCUUCAGGCAGUGCCUCAUAAGCCAAUGGAAUCUGUUGCUAAUAGCCACAGCAUAUCCCUUGCAUAAUAUGACCUCUAGAUUACUGGGCCUUAAUUACUUCCCAGCUCUUCUAUGCUUUGGUUUAGAAAAAUGAAGUAGUGACUUACCGGUGAAGAAAGUAUUCAAGCAGUUAACAUAUUUAUUUCAGUCAAGAAACAGUUCAGUGGGAGAUACAAACAAGUAACUUAGUUACAAUAUAAUAGUUAUGAUGAGAGGAAGUACUGGAUGCUAAACAAUUAUAUGAGAGACAGCUCAGGCUGGGGGUGUCAAUGAAAGCCUCUUGGAGGAAGUAGCCUGAUACGUUAACUUUCUGCAUGCCAGUGGAUGUAUGUUGUGUUCACAGCGAAGGUACUCCCUUCAGCCUGUCCCAGAAAGGAGGAUUCCAAACAGAUACUUAGGCCAGCCCAGCCCCUUUACACACCCACACCUCCUUAGACCAGGGGAGGUAACUCCAGGACUAUCUCAGGUGGAAUAUGCACUUCGCAGACACAAACUAAUGUCUCUGAUCCAGAAGGAAGCUCAAGGGCAGAGUGGGACAGACCAGACAGUGGUUGUGCUCUCCAACCCUACAUACUACAUGAGCAACGAUAUUCCC